CCAGCAGCCGCGGUAAUUCCAGCUCCAAUAGCGUAUAUUAAAGUUGUUGCAGUUAAAAAGCUCGUAGUUGGAUUUCUGGGAGGUUGCCGAUGUCAGCUUGUUAGCUUGUGCAGACGCGACCUCCCAUCCUUCUGUUAACGAUUCUUGGUAUUCAGUUACUGGUUUCGGGCUCAGAUAUUUUACCUUGAGAAAAUUAGAGUGUUUCAGGCAGGCUUGCGCCGGAAUACAUUAGCAUGGAAUAAUAGAAUAGGACUUUAGUCUCCUUUGUUGGUUUGAGGGACUGAAGUAAUGAUUAAUAGGGAUAGUUGGGGGCAUUAGUAUUUAAUUGUCAGAGGUGAAAUUCUCGGAUUUGUUAAAGACUAA
rnacentral:rRNA from 1 species